ensembl:lncRNA
CCUUUACAGAGAGAUUGGGUAGCAGUGGAUGCCAGGAGAUGGGUGAUGUGGUCUGACCUCGGGGCCCCUUCCCACUGUGAGAAUGAGGAAGGGAAAAGGGAUGCAGUGUUUGCAGAAGAGACACUGGGACAACCAAGUGGUUGUGGGAUUAUGGAACCAGGCCCUGAGGGAUGAUGUAGAGAGGCCCUACUUCCUCAGUGUAAGAUGGGGCCUGAGGUCCAGAGGGGGAAAGUAAUUUGCCUUUGGCCACGGAGACUUGACCUUGAGCCCUACAGGCAUCUUAGGGGCUUAGACAGAAAAAGGUAGAAGGCCAUGGCUGGAAAGGAUUGAGUGGCUGUGUGAGUGGGCAGGAUUGAGGUGGCCAGGGAGACAAUGGUUCAGUGCAUAGAUGUGGUGCCCUGUCCACUGUCACCAUCUAGUGGGACGGGGGUGCGGGUGUUAAAUCAGUGGGAGGAGCAGAGCAGCACUUGCCCACUGGGGGCUGCAGCUGUGGGGGUCAGUGUCCAGCCCUCCGCAGCAUCUGGGAAGAGUCAGAGAGGCACUGUGGCAAGGAACAGAAGGCAAACAGGGAACUGAAGUGGUGGCCCAGCAGAGCAAAUGGGAAAACUGGGCACAGGAAGUCCAUCUCGGGCUUUACCUGAUGGACACUGGGCCGCAGAAUCCUAGGUGUGUGGUGGGGAGGGUACAGUGACAGGUUAUCCCAUCCAGCUGCCCUCUAAGUCAGGCUGGCCUCAUCUCUGAGACACUCACCAGACCCCAGAGCAGUCCUUGCUGUGCCUGAAACAAUCUUUGAGGAACACAUUCUCUCUCCGUUGACCCCAGCUUGCUCGUUCUGGAUCCCUCCCUCUGGUCCCCAGCUCCUGAUUCCCCACUGCAGCUGGGGUACACCUCUGCCGCUCCUGGAUUUGGUGUUUGUUCAGACCUGUGGACUUCUCCCUCCCUGGUCGCUGUCGUUGUCUUGGGUAGGGAUUGCUGUGAAGGUCCCUCAGCUGUGCCUCGCUGGGGCCACCCUGGCUCUGCCUCGAGGGAAGGAAGCUCAGUGGAGGCUGUUAUAGAUGUCUGGUCCUGCCCAAAUUGGGGGGUGCAGGGUUGGGAGGAGCUGACCCUCAAGCAGUUCAUUUGAGAUGCCCUGGGCUGGGUCUGAGGGGCCGUGGCCCAGCCUGUUGCAGGAGCUGAGGGAGGAAGAUGAGUUCACUGCCAGGAAGUGGAACUGGUUUGGAAGCUGGGAGGGAGAUGGCUAGGGGGGUUGAUUAGGGGGAGGGAGUGGCCUGAGUGGCAAGCAGGCCAGGGUCAGUGUGGUGGAGGUCCAGAGAGCCAAGUGGGGUCUGAGAGAGCAGAGCUGGGUAGCUGAGGAUCCGUAUACAAACGCUGGUCUUCCCGGCUUGCUCCUUUGCAGACGCAAGUGAUGCGCCCAAGUCCUAUUUGCUGACCAUCCGUAAACACCCCUCCACUGAGAGGAAAUGUUAGUCCAGAUCCUCUGAGAAGGAGAUGCCAUGCCAAGACAAGGUUGGAUGUUCAAGAGAUUUCUUGGGAAAACACUUGUGAAGCGUAAGGGAGAGCCUGCAGACAGGAAGCAGGUCUGUCACCUGGGAAAGCAGAAAGGGAAGGAAGGAGGCGUGGGCAAGGAGGUCUCAGACCGAAGCUCACUGCUCAGAGAGCUUUGCUCCGGCUGAUGUAGUGCUUCUGGAGCCAAGUCACCCGUCGGAGGAGCCUGCAUCUGGUAGAGCAGCCUGAGCAGACGCCCAGUGAUCCCUUCGUUGUGCGGGCCGAGUUGAGGUUGGCCUCUUGCUCUACCCCGUUACCACCUUUAGGGUCCCGGACCACUCUUGUGCCUGCUGCCAACUUUACUGUAUUGGUUAGGAUACUGCUUUCUCCUGUGACAACAAAACCCCCUGAACUUCAGAGGCUCAAGCUAACAUCUGGGACCGUGGAGUCCUCUGCAUGGAGUCAGAAGACAGGCAAAGGAGACAGUGGAGAAGACACACCCGAUUCUUUCCUGCCUCU